UGGGGAAUAUUGCACAAUGGGCGCAAGCCUGAUGCAGCCAUGCCGCGUGUGUGAAGAAGGCCUUCGGGUUGUAAAGCACUUUCAGCGAGGAGGAAGGUGGUGGACUUAAUACGUUCAUCAAUUGACGUUACUCGCAGAAGAAGCACCGGCUAACUCCGUGCCAGCAGCCGCGGUAAUACGGAGGGUGCAAACGUUAAUCGGAAUUACUGGGCGUAAAGCGCACGCAGGCGGUUUGUUAAGUCAGAUGUGAAAUCCCCGGGCUCAACCUGGGAACUGCAUUUGAAACUGGCAAGCUAGAGUCUCGUAGAGGGGGGUAGAAUUCCAGGUGUAGCGGUGAAAUGCGUAGAGAUCUGGAGGAAUACCGGUGGCGAAGGCGGCCCCCUGGACGAAGACUGACGCUCAGGUGCGAAAGCGUGGGGAGCAAACAGGAUUAGAUACCCUGGUAGUCCACGCUGU
rnacentral:rRNA from 1 species